AUCCAACUGACGAAUCCAAAACAGGACGAAACGUGCAUCCUGGAU
rnacentral:hammerhead_ribozyme from 1 species